rnacentral:rRNA from 1 species
UAGGGAAUCUUGCGCAAUGGACGAAAGUCUGACGCAGCAACGCCGCGUGUAGGAUGAAGCCUCUAGAGGUGUAAACUACUGUCAGCAGGGAAGAAAUUGACUGUACCUGCAGAGGAAGCACCGGCUAACUCCGUGCCAGCAGCCGCGGUAAGACGGAGGGUGCAAGCGUUGUCCGGAAUUAUUGGGCGUAAAGAGUUCGUAGGCGGUUAUUUAAGUCUGAUGUUAAAGCCCGAAGCUUAACUUCGGCAUGGCAUUGGAAACUGGAUGACUAGAGUGCGGUAGAGGUAUCGGGAAUUCCAGGUGUAGCGGUGAAAUUCGUAGAUAUUCGGAAGAACACCAGUGGCGAAGGCGGCUCACUGGACGUGUAUUGACGCUGAGGCGCGAGAGCAAGGGGAGCAAACAGGAUUAGAUACCCCCGUAGUCCCUGAGCGGGCUGGCAAGGCGCAU